CAGGCCUAACACAUGCAAGUCGAACGGCAGCACGGGAGCAACCCUGGUGGCGAGUGGCGAACGGGUGAGUAAUAUAUCGGAACGUGCCCUGGAGUGGGGGAUAACUAGUCGAAAGAUUAGCUAAUACCGCAUACGAUCUACGGAUGAAAGUGGGGGACCCGCAAGGGCCUCAUGCUCCUGGAGCGGCCGAUAUCUGAUUAGCUAGUUGGUGAGGUAAAGGCUCACCAAGGCAUCGAUCAGUAGCUGGUCUGAGAGGACGACCAGCCACACUGGGACUGAGACACGGCCCAGACUCUACGGGAGGCAGCAGUGGGGAAUUUUGGACAAUGGGCGCAAGCCUGAUCCAGCAAUGCCGCGUGAGUGAAGAAGGCUUCGGGUUGUAAAGCUCUUUUGUCAGGGAAGAAACGGUGAGGGCGAAUACCCCUUGCUAAUGACGGUACCUGAAGAAUAAGCACCGGCUAAUACGUGCCAGCAGCCGCGGU
rnacentral:rRNA from 1 species